GGACUAUAGCUCAGUGGUAGAGCCCUUGUCUAGCAUGCAGAGGCCCUGGGUUCAAACCCCAUUACCA
rnacentral:tRNA from 1 species